AUGACGUACCUAUGUCAGCACCAGAACGGUCACAUGGCAGUGACAGAGCUGGAAUCUGUAGACAGAACAACGUCCAGCAGUGGCUUAGAAGUCAUGAGGCGGAUGCAAAACCAGACCACACCAGAGAAGCUGCAGCAGGUACGGCACAUAGACAUUUACUUUGAUUUACUGAAGUUUAAUACCAAGAAGGUUCAUCUAAAAAUGUUUGAGUCAUUUCUCAUGAGUCAUUUGUUGUUAGUGCUGGUACAGUAGGAGUUCUAUCUACAGUGUAGUUGCUCAUUGUGGUUAUUUUGGUGACACUUCAGCUUAACACCGUGAAGUACAUUCAAUAUUAGCCAUAGACCAGUGGUUACUGAAAGAUGUUUGGAUUUAAGUCAAGUUUAAACUUGAGCAUGACAUACUACCAGUUGAGCUAGAUUGAAACUGUUGGAAAAUGUGAGUGUAAGAAAUGGUACACGACAAUACACCUGUCAUUACAAAACCAAUCAACUCAUCCUGUAAUGUAAAGGUUAAAAAUCAAGCCUUAGUAUAACAGAGAUGAUAUAUGGAAAUGUAUUUGUAUACGUAACUUGGAAUUGUCAUAUUCACCAUACAUGGGUGUUAUCUCUGGGUAAUGAAGAGGUUGUGUAGCUAGAAAGGCAGAGACUCGGCAAGGCAGAUAGAUUCAAACGACAUGCAAACUAGGACCGUGAAAACCAUGGGAACGACAUCUUGUUAUAACCAUAACGACACAAGGCGAGACCCAGAUGCAGACACGGGAGGCAGAUGGUUUGAGUUCCGAUAUUUAUUAUAGUCCAAGGGGUCAGCAAAAGGCAGGUCAAGAGUUCAUAACCAGGUCAGAGUCCAAAACAGUACAGGGCUGCAAGCAGAAUGGUCAGGCAGAUGGGCACAGAGUCAGAACACGAAAACCAGAGACUUGGCAACCCACUGGUUGACUUGGCAAACAAGAUGAACUGGCACAGACAGACAGAAAACACAGGUAUAAAUACACAGGGGAUAAGUGGGAAGAUGGGCGACACCUGGAGGGGGUGGAGACAAGCACAAGGACAGGUGAAACAGAUCAGGGUGUGACAAUAACUCUGUGCUGUAACCAACCAGCCCCUAAACAUCCACUAAAUGUCCUUUACUGUUGGUCUUAGCCAUCACUGGUUUAUUAUGUCACACAAAACAAGACUGCUGUUGUUGAUUCCUUUAUCACUUUCUUCUUCUGAGGUCAUUUGUAUCUGUUAGAAGCUGAGUACAGAAAUACCAAGUCUGCCUCUUCUGUCAGACUUGGUAUUUCAAGAAUCAGACGGUGAUGUUUGUUAUCUCGUUCUGUGUUUGUGCUCUGUCUAAUCUCUAUUUCACAGUCAGGGUGUCCCCCAAAUGGCACCCAAUUUCCUAAGGGCCCUAGUCGAAAGUAAACUGAACAAAAAUCUAAAUGCAACAUGCAACAAUUUCAACGAUUUUACUGAGUUACAGUUCAUAUAAGGAAAUCAGUCAAUUGAAAUAAAUUCAUUAGG
rnacentral:lncRNA from 1 species